AACUUAAUGGAACUGCUAUUUUCCAUCCCUUAUCACUGCUCUCCCAUCCCUCUCCCUCUUCCCCACCAUUGUUAAAUCUUCCCUUCAUAUUCUUAUCUUUUACUUUCAGGGCCUUUAACAGAGUUACUUUGAAUAUGUUGAUAUUCAAAUUCAAUGCCAUUAAGAGCAACACCCUCUCUCAGCUUCAUAAGUCUGGACUUGCUUCUCCCAAAAAAUUGAAGGGUGACAAGUUCACCAAAGCAAUGUUGGCUUUUGCCUUGCCCUGCUUGCUGCUGAUGAUUCAACCAAUACAAGGGGCUGCCAAAACCCCAACAUUACAGUAUGGAACAUUUGAGAGGAGCAAUAAUGCUCCUUUGACACACUCCACCUAUUAAUGUCGAAAACGGUUGAAAGUGUUGAAAACUGCCAGUGGGUGAAAUGAAAAUCCAUGUUAAUGUUCAUCCAUUUUCACUUCAAUAUUUUCCCCUGAUGUUGAAAGUGUUGAUAUAGAGGAACUCCAGUUGAAGCUGUUGCCAAUGUUACAAUGGCAGAAGGAAUUUUGAACCACAAAGAGCCAGGUACCGAGGCCAUAGCUGCUGGGAUUGCCACUUGGUUCUCGAACAAGACUGAGUCCAAUAGCAAUACAUAUGGUGGGGAAGAGGGAGAGGGAUGGGAAAGUAGUGAUAGGAGGAUGGAAAACGUAGCUCCGUUAAGUUUGUAAUAAAAAACAGUAGCUCCAUUACAUUUGUAACGGAAAAGGGCUAGACCGUUUUAUUAUUUUUCGAAAGUUGAGUGACUGCUGGUAUAAUUUAACCCUUAACUAAAUUUUAAAAAUUGAGCAU